GGAGAUGUGGCUCAGUGGUAGAGUUCUUGCCUUGCAUGCAUAAGGCCCUGGGUUUGAUCCCCAGCACCA
rnacentral:tRNA from 1 species